GCAUUCCAAAAAAGAGCUAAACCACCAGCUAAUCCAACAGGGGUGACUAGCUUGUGAUGCAAAAAAACCCGAAGACCUUUUCAACCGAAGGAGAACUUCAUCAGCAUUUUUCGUCUCCAUCAAAAAUAAGAGGGCCAGCCACCGUCGCCCGGAAUACUUCUUCAGACGCCUCCAAAAUUGGCGUGUCCAACAAAAGCGAGUCAUCAUAGCCCCCCGAAUAUCCUUCUGGGAUUAAAGCAGUGGUUAAGGUUCGUGGCUCGGUGGGAGGUAUGGUUGAUGAAUCAGUUGUGUUCUGAUUUGAGAAGGGAAUGACAGGGUGUGGUUGGGUGGUUGUUACUGGAAUUGGUGGUAAAAGAAGAGGAAGAGGACGAAUCUCGGAGGGAGGAGUUUCAGCUUUUAGCCAGGGGCCGUAAGGAGUAGAGUCGGAUUCAUGGAUCAUUUUCUCCUCAAACGGAAUAGAAGGACAGGAAUUAGUAUAAUGGCCCAGACGUCCACAAGAAUAGCAGUAAUGAGAUAAAUCCAGUUCAACACGAGCACGGCAAGCCUUCAGGGCUGAACCAGAGGCAAACUCAGAUUUUACAUGCAGAACAGAGCCUACUGAACUAACAGCUUUGCGUAUCAUAUCAUCAGUACAACAUUCCAGAGGUAAUCCUAUGACCUGAACCCAAAAUGCACAGGUAGCAAAGUCGUAACAGUGAAGAGGGGUAUUAGCUAUCCAUGGUUUGAUAUUCAUUAGAUGGCCUGAAAAUUGCCAAGGACCUGUGUCCAGAAUUCUCUGUUUUUCAGCUUGCGAUUUGAAUUUGGCUAAAUAAAUACCAUCUUCUCUCUGAGUGAUGUCCACUUGGUCCAACCACCAUGCCCUCUUCAAGACAGACUGAAAAGCUUGGAAAUUAAAGGAAGGGUUGGAGUGGACUUUACCAACCAGCAGUAACUUGCAUUCCUCAACGGCACCAGAUGCAUCAGGAUCUUCGUCUGUGGCCAUCGGCGAAGAAAGAGGGUCGACUUAACCGAUGAAGGUCUGUGACAUCAAAGUUAUCGACAUGUAGAUGAAAGAGGGUCGACUUAACCGAUGAAAGUCUGUGGCAUCAAAAUUAUCGACAUGCAGAUGAAAAGGAGGGAAGAUUUCGGGAAAACAGAAACCCUCUAAAUAGGAAAAGGAAGAUGACUAGCGAGGUCUGGGUGUGAAGACGAUGGCAAAGUACUUAGAGAUUGCCAUUCGCAGUUCCGUAGAGAGUGGGUGAAGAUUGUGGAGAAGGAGCUAAGAAGGAACGAAGAAGAAGGAACUCUAUCCUGCCGAUAGAGAAGAACUCGACAAACGACGAGAGGAUC